AACGAACGCUGGCGGCAUGCCUAACACAUGCAAGUCGAACGAGACCUUCGGGUCUAGUGGCGUACGGGUGCGUAACGCGUGGGAACCUGCCCUUAGGUACGGAAUAACUCCCCGAAAGGGGUGCUAAUACCGGAUAAUGUCUUCGGACCAAAGAUUUAUCGCCUUUGGAUGGGCCCGCGUUGGAUUAGCUAGUUGGUAGGGUAAAAGCCUACCAAGGCGACGAUCCAUAGCUGGUCUGAGAGGAUGAUCAGCCACACUGGGACUGAGACACGGCCGAGACUCCUACGGGAGGCAGCAGUGGGGAAUAUUGGACAAUGGGCGAAAGCCUGAUCCAGCAAUGCCGCGUGAGUGAUGAAGGCCUUAGGGUUGUAAAGCUCUUUUACCCGGGAUGAUAAUGACAGUACCGGGAGAAUAAGCUCCGGCUAACUCCGUG
rnacentral:rRNA from 1 species